UGUUUAUUGAUUUAAUAUAAUAAAUAAUUUCUGCCCAGUGAAAUUUUUAACGGCCGCGGUAUUUUGACCGUGCAAAGGUAGCAUAAUCAUUUGCCUUUUUAUUGGAGGCUUGAAUGAAUGAAUAAACAUAGGUAAAGCUGUACCCUAUAUUUUAAUAAAAAUUAUUCCUCAGGUGAAGAAACCUGAAUAUUAUAAAAAGACAAAAAGACCCUAUCAAGCUUUAUAUUUUUAUAUAAUUUUUAUAUUUAAAUAUUUGGUUGGGGCGAUUAUUGAGAAAUAAAUUUCUCUCAUCAUUAUAAAGAAAUAUAUUUCAUUUUUAAUUAAUUAUUUAAUAUAAGAAAGCUACUGUAGGGAUAACAGGCUAAUAUUAUCCUAGAGUUCAAAUUAAAGAUAAUGAUUGGCACCUCGAUGUUGGCUUAGGGCUCCUCCUUUUCGCAGAAGAAAAGAAAGGUAGUUUGUUCAACUAUUAAACCCCU
rnacentral:rRNA from 1 species